rfam:Oryza brachyantha chromosome 1, whole genome shotgun sequence.
GUCUCCUCGGAGACAUCCGAUAAAAUUAGAACGAUACAAAGAUUACCAUAGCCACUGUGCAAAGAUGACACGCACAAAUCAAGAAAUGGUCCUAAAAAUA